GUUGAACGCUGGCGGCAGGCCUAACACAUGCAAGUCGAGCGGAUGAAGGGAGCUUGCUCCUGGAUUCAGCGGCGGACGGGUGAGUAAUGCCUAGGAAUCUGCCUGGUAGUGGGGGAUAACGUCCGGAAACGGGCGCUAAUACCGCAUACGUCCUGAGGGAGAAAGUGGGGGAUCUUCGGACCUCACGCUAUCAGAUGAGCCUAGGUCGGAUUAGCUAGUUGGUGGGGUAAAGGCCUACCAAGGCGACGAUCCGUAACUGGUCUGAGAGGAUGAUCAGUCACACUGGAACUGAGACACGGUCCAGACUCCUACGGGAGGCAGCAGUGGGGAAUAUUGGACAAUGGGCGAAAGCCUGAUCCAGCCAUGCCGCGUGUGUGAAGAAGGUCUUCGGAUUGUAAAGCACUUUAAGUUGGGAGGAAGGGCAGUAAGUUAAUACCUUGCUGUUUUGACGUGACCAACAGAAUAAGCACCGGCUAACUUCGU
rnacentral:rRNA from 1 species